CCUAACACAUGCAAGUCGAGCGGAGUUAACAAGAGGUAAGUUUCGGAUGGUAAUUUGUUAAUUAGCGGCGGACGGGUGAGUAACGCGUGAGCGACCAACCUUGCACAGGGGAUAACGGACCGAAAGGUUCACUAAUACCGCAUGAGACCACGGUGUUGCAUGACACAGAGGUCAAAGGAGCAAUCCGGUGCAAGACGGGCUCGCGUCCGAUUAGGUAGUUGGUGGGGUAAUGGCCCACCAAGCCUAUGAUCGGUAGCCGACCUGAGAGGGUGAUCGGCCACAUUGGAACUGAGAUACGGUCCAAACUCCUACGGGAGGCAGCAGGUGGGGAAUAUUGGGGACCAAGUGGGGGAAACCCUGACCCAGCAACGCCGCGUGAAGGAAGUAAGGUUUUCGGAUUGUAAACUUCUGUCCUUGGUGAAGAGAAGAAGACGGUAGCCAAGGAGGAACGCCCCGGCUAACUACGUGCCAGCCGCCGC
rnacentral:rRNA from 1 species